UACGGAGGGUGCAAGCGUUAUCCGGAUUCACUGGGUUUAAAGGGUGCGUAGGUGGGCAGGUAAGUCAGUGGUGAAAUCUCUGGGCUUAACCCGGAAACUGCCGUUGAUACUAUCUGUCUUGAAUAUAGUGGAGGUGAGCGGAAUAUGUCAUGUAGCGGUGAAAUGCUUAGAUAUGACAUAGAACAUCGAUUGCGAAGGCAGCUCGCUACACUAUGAUUGACACUGAGGCACGAAAGCGUGGGGAUCAAGCAGG
rnacentral:rRNA from 1 species